GUGAGAUUGUUAGUUCAAGGAGGUUUUUAUGGAAUUUCUCACAUGUCCUGUCACAAAAACCCUGGUAUUUUAUGUUUACAAGCUCCAAUGAACCUAUUGGCUACGCCUACGAUCCAAUCCUCAGAAAGUGGUAUGGCAUUGAUCUCCCAUGCAUCGAGACAUCCAGUUGGUUCAUUGCUUCAUCUCGUGGUUUAGUUUGCUUCAUGGACAAUGAUAGCAGAAGUGAAUUAUAUGUCUGCAACCCUAUUACCAAAUGCUGCAAGAAGCUUGAGGAGCCUCCAGGUUUAAAAAUUGCUGAUUACAGUGCACUUGCAAUAUCAGUGAACAGUAUAUCCAUGUGACAUAC
rnacentral:misc_RNA from 1 species